rnacentral:rRNA from 1 species
UACCAGCACCCCGAGUGGUCGGGACGUUUAUUGGGCCUAAAGCAUCCGUAGCCGGUUCUACAAGUCUUCCGUUAAAUCCACCUGCUUAACAGAUGGGCUGCGGAAGAUACUAUAGAGCUAGGAGGCGGGAGAGGCAAGCGGUACUCGAUGGGUAGGGGUAAAAUCCGUUGAUCCAUUGAAGACCACCAGUGGCGAAGGCGGCUUGCCAGAACGCGCUCGACGGUGAGGGAUGAAAGCGUGGGGAGCAAACAGG